UACAUAGGGAGCAAGCGUUAUCCGGAUUUAUUGGGUGUAAAGGGUGCGUAGACGGGAAAUUAAGUUAGUUGUGAAAUCCCUCGGCUUAACUGAGGAACUGCAACUAAAACUGAUUUUCUUGAGUACUGGAGAGGAAAGUGGAAUUCCUAGUGUAGCGGUGAAAUGCGUAGAUAUUAGGAGGAACAUCGGUGGCGUAAGCGCUUUACUGGGCCGUAAUUGACGCUGAGGAACGAAAGCCAGGGUAGCAAAUGGG
rnacentral:rRNA from 1 species